rnacentral:rRNA from 2 species
ACGGGUGCGAAGUUGUUGAUGCCAUGCUUCCAGGAAAAUCCUCUAAGCUUCAGGUACAUGUUGACCGUACCCGAAACCGACACAGGUGGUCAGGUAGAGAAUACUAAGGCGCUUGAGAGAACUCGGGUGAAGGAACUAGGCAAAAUAGUACCGUAACUUCGGGAGAAGGUACGCCAGAGCUGGUGAAAUCCUCGCGGAUGGAGCUGGAGCUGGCCGCAGUGACCAGGUGGCUGGGACUGUUUAUUAAAAACACAGCACUCUGCAAACUCGAAAGAGGACGUAUAGGGUGUGACACCUGCCCGGUGCCGGAAGGUUAAUUGAUGGGGUUAGCGUAAGCGAAGCUCUUGAUCGAAGCCCCGGUAAACGGCGGCCGUAACUAUAACGGUCCUAAGGUAGCGAAAUUCCUUGUCGGGUAAGUUCCGACCUGCACGAAUGGUGUAACCAUGGCCACGCUGUCUCCACCCGAGACUCAGUGAAAUUGAAAUCGCCGUGAAGAUGCGGUGUACCCGCGGCUAGACGGAAAGACCCCGUGAACCUUUACUACAGCUUGGCACUGAACAUUGAACCUGCAUGUGUAGGAUAGGUGGGAGGCUAUGAAACACCGGCGCCAGUUGGUGUGGAGCCAUCCUUGAAAUACCACCCUUGUAUGUUUGAUGUUCUAACUCAGGACCGUUAUCCGGUUCGAAGACAGUGCCUGGUGGGUAGUUUGACUGGGGCGGUCUCCUCCCAAAGAGUAACGGAGGAGCACGAAGGUUGGCUAAGUACGGUUGGACAUCGUACGGUUAGUGUAAUGGCACAAGCCAGCUUAACUGCGAGACGGACAGGUCGAGCAGGUGCGAAAGCAGGUCAUAGUGAUCCGGUGGUUCUGAAUGGAAGGGCCAUCGCUCAACGGAUAAAAGGUACUCCGGGGAUAACAGGCUGAUACCGCCCAAGAGUUCAUAUCGACGGCGGUGUUUGGCACCUCGAUGUCGGCUCAUCACAUCCUGGGGCUGUAGUCGGUCCCAAGGGUAUGGCUGUUCGCCAUUUAAAGUGGUACGCGAGCUGGGUUUAGAACGUCGUGAGACAGUUCGGUCCCUAUCUGCCGUGGGCGUUUGAGAGUUGAGAGGGGUUGCUCCUAGUACGAGAGGACCGGAGUGAACGAACCUCUGGUGUUCGGGUUGUCACGCCAGUGGCACUGCCCGGUAGCUAUGUUCGGAAUCGAUAACCGCUGAAAGCAUCUAAGCGGGAAGCGAGCCUCAAGAUAAGCUCUCACUGACAUGUAAUUGUCCUGUAGGGUUGUUGAAGAC